URGCAKCWGGACACGCCGCGUGUGUGWGAAGGCUUUCGGGUCGUAAAGCACUGUUGUAUGGGAAGAYUGCUAAAAUAGGGAAUGAUUUUAGUUUGACGGUACCAUACCAGAAAGGGACGGCUAAAUACGUGCCAGCAGCCGCGGUAAUACGUAUGUCCCGAGCGUUAUCCGGAUUUAUUGGGCGUAAAGCGAGCGCAGACGGUUGAUUAAGUCUGAUGUGAAAGCCCGGAGCUCAACUCCGGAAUGGCAUKGGAAACUGGUUAACUUGAGUGUUGUAGAGGUAAGUGGAACUCCAUGUGUAGCGGUGAAAUCCCCCGGU
rnacentral:rRNA from 1 species